AUUGAACGCUGGCGGCAGGCCUAACACAUGCAAGUCGAACGGUAACAGGAAGAAGCUUGCUUCUUUGCUGACGAGUGGCGGACGGGUGAGUAAUGUCUGGGAAACUGCCUGAUGGAGGGGGAUAACUACUGGAAACGGUAGCUAAUACCGCAUAACGUCGCAAGACCAAAGAGGGGGACCUUCGGGCCUCUUGCCAUCGGAUGUGCCCAGAUGGGAUUAGCUAGUAGGUGGGGUAACGGCUCACCUAGGCGACGAUCCCUAGCUGGUCUGAGAGGAUGACCAGCCACACUGGAACUGAGACACGGUCCAGACUCCUACGGGGGGCAGCAGUGGGGAAUAUUGCACAAUGGGCGCAAGCCUGAUGCAGCCAUGCCGCGUGUAUGAAGAAGGCCCUCGGGUUGUAAAGUACUUUCAGCGGGGAGGAAGGGAGUAAAGUUAAUACCUUUGCUCAUUGACGUUACCCGCAGAAGAAGCACCGGCUAACUCCGUGCCAGCCGCCGCCGUAA
rnacentral:rRNA from 1 species